CGGACGGGUGAGUAACACGUGGACAACCUACCUAUAAGACUGGGAUAACUUCGGGAAACCGGAGCUAAUACCGGAUAAUAUUUUGAACCGCAUGGUUCAAAAGUAAAAGACGGUCUUGCUGUCACUUAUAGAUGGAUCCGCGCUGCAUUAGCUAGUUGGUAAGGUAACGGCUUACCAAGGCAACGAUGCAUAGCCGACCUGAGAGGGUGAUCGGCCACACUGGAACUGAGACACGGUCCAG
rnacentral:rRNA from 1 species